UUGAGGUUAGGUACACGCAGCGUGUAAAUGAUCACGUGGUUCACGGUGAUUGUUAAUUAUCUCGGUUCGUUGAACUUUAUGAAUUACUGAUAAUUUUAACAUAUUAAUCUUCAAAUUGAAUGAAACGCUUGCAUAUAAACGAAGCUAUUCAUUAAUUUAUGCAGUUUUAACAAAGUAUAAGGAGUGUUUUUUUACCUGAAGUCCAAUUGGCAUUUGGUUUUUGUCAAACCCAAGUGGACAUUGUGUGACCGGAAAUCCUAGUACGUUGAAGAUCAUCAUGUAUGUAAAAUUAUUUAUGUUAUAUAAACACUCUUGAGGAUAAUACGCCGAUGAGAUAAAAGAAGGACAAAUUAAUACACCGUCAUCGCCCAGCAGCUUCUAAAUGUCAAUGAAUACAUAAUUAUUAAUCAAGAGACACAAUAGUGGCUUGUGCCAAGUGAACGCGCAGCCUGAGCCGACCGUGGUAUACAUUACACAAAUAUUUUAAUAUAUUAUAUAAUCAAAGUUUAAAAAAUGCGAUAUAUAUGAAUUUUACCUCAAA